GUACAGACUUGCCAAGUACGUGCUUGCAAGUCAUCGAGUCCGUAGUACGCGUGCUAGGAAUUGAGAAACGGCCAAAGUAGGCCUACAUUUGCAGCUCCUUCAUCCGAGGCCGUUUCUCAAUUCGUAGCACGCGUACUACGGACUCGAUGACUGACCGCAUUCAUAACAGACAAAAGUCAAAUAAAUAUCGAUCAGCUUGAUUGCUGCCAUGUUUUAUUCAUAAGCGCACAUGUGUUACAAGCGGACACGCAGUAUUAAAAAGCGGAAGCGCUUCCACACUACCAAGUCGUUCCCAAAGUCAGACGUUACAAACGCUAGGAAGCACUCGAGCUAGCACUCUAGUCUCAUCUCCAUAGGACGCGACUAGUAAGGACGCGUCCUAGCAAGGCUGCAGCCUUCACUUUGGGAAACAGCCUCGGUGAAACGGCGAUAUCGAGCACGCAUCCAGAACACUUCCGGGUUUUACGACAGUACUCGCUUGAUGCGUGCUUCGAAUUGGAACAGUGCUCGGGCAACGACUGAUGACGUUUCACGAGUCCACGAGCACGCACAAGUACGCGAAUUGAGAAACGGCUCGAGUCUCUGAGGAACCAGUGGGUUCAUUUAGUUUUCGCUGGAAAUGCGCCGAUACGAAUUCCGAAAUGUGUGUUUGUGUGCGCCAAACAUUUCACCGACGACUGCCUCAUCAACUUGGGACAAUACAAAGCUGGAUUUGCUGAACUUCUGAAAAUGAAGCCUGGAUCAGUACCAACUCUCAUUGCCUCAGCUACAAACCGCGGACAAGUAAGUAAACUAACGCUGUAUCAUGUUCUGGCUUUACUGUGUAUGAUUACCUUGCUUGUUCCCCUUAGAAUGUGGCUUUAGCUAAUGCUCACCGUACUACAAACUAAUACAGCUGUCUUUUAACAGCUAAGUGACGCAGAAGUUCUAGCGUGAGACACAGGGCCUGAUUCCCAAGUUAUGCUGCUAUCCAUUUUGAUGGUAGGCUGGUACGAACGACCAGCUUCAGCGAGAACGUGACGUAUUUCCCUUACUCCAGCCUUCCAGUUUGCUAUUUGUGUCAGACGAGUUUAAGAAGAAACUAUUUUGGAAAAAAGAAAUAAUCCAGUGUAUAAUGGUUGCCAGCCUUUACAGAAACAUUAACAUUGCAAGCCUUUUACAUUGCAAUAAUAUUUUGCCAAUUUCGCCAAUUUUUAUUUCAACAAGUGCUGUCGUGUUUCUGUCGAGCCACGAGGGGUAGUAGUGGGCUAGUCAUCAUUAGCAACAUAGCCUCUUUGGCAAACCAGCUUGAAAACACAACUUUACAUUGAAUUUCACGCAAAGCAAGACCAUACAUUGGUGACCGGAUUAAAGCAGCAAUGAAAUCAGGUGUGUAAGAGGAUUUAAAAUCGACGUUACAACCCCCAACGUGGUACAAAUGCAAAGAAAAUACAGCUCAAUCCCCAUUGACUAUGGGCGCAGCCAUCUUGUUUGCUAGUUGUACAGAUCUGCUCGCUCUACUUUGAAAGCGACGAGAUACUAUGACCGAAAGGGGGCGUGCCUCAGUGAAAUCCCGCAAGAAAGCUGGGAGAUUUGCGACUUUACCACUUCGUACAUCCAAAUGGAUAGCAGCAUUAGCCUUGGUGUUCUAUAUCAUUGGAGACAGUUUUCAACACAUUUCAUUCAGUCCUUCUAGUUCGCUCGUGCUAGGCUACCGCACGGCAACAGGCAUAAAUGAAUAAAGUUAGAAAUAAAAGUAACCUUCCAUCGGAUGAAUCAUCGCAUUUUGAGGGACUAUUUCCGAGGCAAUGGAGCUGGUAACCUAGGUAUCAGCAAUGCAAUGCCAGCACAUCGACUGUUUACAUUCAGCUCCCUCUCUCAAGGGAUGUUGCAUGCCAGACGGACCACGUGGGAAGUUUGAAAACGCGUACUGUAGGCCCACAGCUAUCCUUUAGGACUUUGCAGACCCACAUUAAAAGUGAAGGUGUCGAGGCAACUGUGUUCUGCAAGGAUUUCGGUGUUGGCACAUCGAAUGCAGACCCUUUGUGCCUGUCAUCGACACCAAUAAGGAGACCAUCCAAAAGACCUCGGGUAGACCUUGAGGAAGAGCUGGAGGCCAAUCCAUUGGAGGUCAGCUCUUUAUUGGAAGCUUCUAAUGGACCGGAUUCCACUUAUGAUCCGUCUGACUCCAUCACAGCAUUGUUAGACUCUACACUAAAGUCAGAAGAUUCAUCCACUGCAACACCCAACGGCAAGAAAUACAUGGUGUACGAGAGCUGCAUCAUGGAGUUGUUUAAUGCAUGUCCAGUCUGCACGAGGGCAUGUGAAGUUACAACCCAAAGGCUGGGGACAUUCCUGUCUGUGAAGCAGCAGUGCCCCCAUUGCACAUUCGGAAGACGCUGGAAUAGCCAGCCUAUCCUUGGGAGCACGCCAGCUGGAAAUCUGCACCUUUCUGCCGCUGUGUACCUGAGUGGUGCAUCUUUCCUAAAAAUCCAAAAGGUCUUCAAGGCAAUGAAGCUACAGUUGUUUCGGUAUGAAACAUUUCGCCGCCAUGCCAAAAGUUUCAUUGAACCAGCAGUUAUUCACCAGUGGAAAGUCCUAAAUGAUUCGAAUCUGCAGCGGCUAAGUCAAGAGGAAACGGUGAUACUUGGUGGUGACAUGAGAGCUGACUCUCCAGGUCACUCUGCAAAGUAUGGGAGUUACACAAUGAUGGAUCUCCAUACUAACACCAUUGUGGACAUUCAGUUGGUCCAGUUGGUGGUAGCACCCAUAUGGAGAAGGAGGGACUGAAGAGGAGCCUAGCCUUACUGGAGUCGCGUGGCGUCCAUCUUGACUGCAUUGUCACUGAUCGUCAUCCUCAAGUACAGAAGUUCCUCAGGGAGAGAAACAUAACCCAUUACUACGAUGUCUGGCACUUUGCAAAAGGUAUUUCAAAGAAGCUGUUGGCAAUCGGUAAGCAGAAAGACGGUGAGAAACUCAAGAAGUGAAUGAAGCGCAUCAACAACCACAUAUACUGGACUGCAGCAGGCUCAACCUCCGGGCCAGAGAGAAUUGCGGGUGGACCUCGAUCCUGAACCAUGUUCGAGAUGUCCAUGUACAUGAAGAUCCUCUUUACCCCAAGUGCGAGCAUGCGAUCCGCCAGACAAGUGACCGGAGUAAAUGGCUUCAAGCAGCAACUCAAACUUUCUCCAAGUUGGAGAAGUUCCUGACCAAUAAAAGGGCGCUGAAGGAUGUUGCAAAACUGAGCCCCCACCACCGAACUUCAUCUUUGGAGGCUUUCCAUGCGGUUAUUCUUCGUUUUGCCCCCAAAAAUGUUGUCUUUCCCUUUAUUGGAAUGCUGUGCAGACUCUACCUGGCUGCUAUGCAUUCUAAUCACAAUGUGGACCGACCACAGGCCGAAACAAAGGAAGGAGUACCGAUUUAUAAAAUGUCCUUUGCAAAGGCUAGGAAGGGAGAGUGCAGAGCUAAACCACAAAAAACACAGCAGACCUUUGGUUACGUUGAUGACAUCAUGGAUGUAAUUUUUGAGGAAGUCUUUCCCAACCCUACGUCAUACACCGAGGCCCUGUUGGAGAUCCCUGUUCCAGAGCCCCUAACGGCACAGUAUGAGAAGCCUGACAAGGAGGCGGUCAUCAGCAGCCUUGUGUCAAGGUUCAAACGGGGGGAUGUUUAAAACCAACAUAGUGGCCUUCCUCAGCAGGAAACUCAACGUGGAUACGCAGGACCACACAAGCUGGAAUCACAUCCCGGAUACGGCGUCCCAGGUGGCCCCAGCACCAGCUCACAAAGGAACGAUAGGAGAGAUACCUGUAGCGACUGAACAAUUGAUCCAGAGAUUAAGUCUUGCAGAGAUUUAUCAUUGCUUUGUGUUAUGAAAAUAAAUAUUACUAUGCUCCUAUGGCUGGUUUGUUCUGUAACUAUUUAAGUUGUUUUUUUUAGCUUGGAUAUAAAUACAUCUUCACAAAAUUAGGCACAAGAUUGAGAACAACUUCAUUUAUUUUAUUAAAUUCUGUAACAAUGCACAACUUACUUCUCAAAUUUAGAGGACCAUAGUCGGCUCUAUAUUUGGCUGGCAUUUUGAAUAGAGUAAACAUUUAGGCAGACUGGCUCCAAUCCAGGAUGGUCAACCAUACACGUUAGCUGUAGUUCGACCUCCCGUAGUCUUCUAGUAACCUAAUUAGAAUUGGAAAGGGUAAGUUUUAUUUUUAUGCAUUGUGUCAAAUGAAGAGAAAGUAGUUUCCAAUUUAGUGGAGAGUGCUACCUGCGGUAUCUCCAUGCAGCAAAUAUUCUCCGCUUCUGUGGGCAUGGACGCACAUUUUCCACAACGGCACCUAUCCAUAAAAUAAAGGUAGAUGUAAUAAUGGCAGAGGUCUGACUAUAGUGGCUCUGGUUAGUGUCUAUAGCUAUACAUAUGACAGUGGACAACCUGAUGUUAGACUUAUAUCUUCACGAGUAAAUCAUGGGUUAUGUGUAACAUGACUUCAAUAUAGGUUGAAAUUAACCCAUUAAAUGAGCCAGUGACUUCUCUAAACUACAAAGAUGACUGAUAUAGAUGCUAAUAUAACGUAACAAUAGCAAAUCAGCAACUUUGAAAGCCAACAACGUAGGCUAGCGUUAGCACAUGAUAAUAACUAACCGCAUACAUAAACAAACCAACUAAAGUACCGUAUCCAGACACAAUAUUUUCAAUUACCAUUCAGAGACGUCCUGCUGUAGCCGCUGAGCCU